CGUGAAACUGCGAAUGGCUCAUUAAAUCAGUUAUCGUUUAUUUGAUAGUACCUUACUACUUGGAUAACCGUGGUAAUUCUAGAGCUAAUACAUGCUGAAAACCCCAACUUCGGGAGGGGUGUAUUUAUUAGAUAAAAAACCAACGCCCUUCGGGGCUUCUUGGUGAUUCAUGAUAACUUAACGGAUCGCAUGGCCUUGCGCCGGCGACGGUUCAUUCAAAUUUCUGCCCUAUCAACUUUCGAUGGUAAGGUAUUGGCUUACCAUGGUUUCAACGGGUAACGGGGAAUUAGGGUUCGAUUCCGGAGAGGGAGCCUGAGAAACGGCUACCACAUCCAAGGAAGGCAGCAGGCGCGCAAAUUACCCAAUCCCGACACGGGGAGGUAGUGACAAUAAAUACUGAUACAGGGCUCUUUUGGGUCUUGUAAUUGGAAUGAGUACAAUUUAAACCUCUUAACGAGGAACAAUUGGAGGGCAAGUCUGGUGCCAGCAGCCGCGGUAAUUCCAGCUCCAAUAGCGUAUAUUAAAGUUGUUGCAGUUAAAAAGCUCGUAGUUGAACCUUGGGUCUGGCUGGCAGGUCCGCCUCACCGCGUGUACUUGUCCGGCCGGGCCUUCCUUCUGGAGAACCUCAUGCCCUUCACUGGGCGUGUUGGGGACCAGGACUUUUACUUUGAAAAAAUUAGAGUGUUCAAAGCAGGCCUUUGCUCGAAUACGUUAGCAUGGAAUAAUGAAAUAGGACGUGCGGUCCUAUUUUGUUGGUUUCUAGGACCGCCGUAAUGAUUAAUAGGGACAGUCGGGGGCAUCAGUAUUCAAUUGUCAGAGGUGAAAUUCUUGGAUUUAUUGAAGACUAACUACUGCGAAAGCAUUUGCCAAGGAUGUUUUCAUUAAUCAGUGAACGAAAGUUAGGGGAUCGAAGACGAUCAGAUACCGUCGUAGUCUUAACCGUAAACUAUGCCGACUAGGGAUCGGGCGAUGUUCUUUUUCUGACUCGCUCGGCACCUUACGAGAAAUCAAAGUUUU
rnacentral:rRNA from 1 species